GUCUAUGGCCAUGCCACCCUGAAUGAGCCUGAUGUCUGAUCUCAGAAGCUAAGCAGGGUCAGGCCUGGUUAGUACUUGGAUGGGAGACCACCUAGGAAGGCCAAGUGCUGUAGGCA
rnacentral:rRNA from 1 species